rnacentral:rRNA from 1 species
UGGGGAAUAUUGCACAAUGGGCGAAGCCUGAUGCAGCAACGCCGCGUGAGUGAUGAAGGUCUUCGGAUUGUAAAGCUCUGUCUUUUGGGACGAUAAUGACGGUACCAAAGGAGGAAGCCACGGCUAACUACGUGCCAGCAGCCGCGGUAAUACGUAGGUGGCGAGCGUUGUCCGGAUUUACUGGGCGUAAAGGGUGCGUAGGCGGAUGUUUAAGUGAGAUGUGAAAUACCCGGGCUUAACUUG